rnacentral:misc_RNA from 1 species
UGGCUCUGGCAUCGAUGAAGAACGCAGCGAAAUGCGAUAAGUAAUGUGAAUUGCAGAAUUCAGUGAAUCAUCGAAUCUUUGAACGCACAUUGCGCCCGCCAGUAUUCUGGCGGGCAUGCCUGUUCGAGCGUCAUUUCAACCCUCAGGCCCCGCCUGGUGUUGGGGACCCCGCGGCCGCCGCGGGCCCCGAAAAUCAGUGGCGUGUCCGCCGCACGACCGGGCGUAGUAAUCUACCAUCGCCGUGGGAGUGCGUCGGGCGCCCGCCGUAAAACAAACUUUUACAAGGUUGACCUCGGAUCAGGUAGGAAUACCCGCUGA